AGAGUUUGAUCCUGGCUCAGGACGAACGCUGGCGGCGUGCUUAAUACAUGCAAGUCGAGCGGGGUUAUCUUUUCAAAGCCCUUCGGGGUAGCGAAUUUUUAACCUAGCGGCGGACGGGUGAGUAACGCGUGGGUAACCUACCCUAAAGCCCGGGAUAACAGCGGGAAACUGCUGCUAAUACCGGAUAGCUUUAUCUGGAGGCAUCUUCGGAUAAGGAAAGAUUUAUCGCUUUAGGAUGGGCCCGCGUCCCAUUAGCUAGUUGGUGAGGUAACGGCUCACCAAGGCGACGAUGGGUAGCCGGCCUGAGAGGGUGAACGGCCACACUGGGACUGAGACACGGCCCAGACUCCUACGGGAGGCAGCAGUGGGGAAUAUUGCGCAAUGGGGGGAACCCUGACGCAGCGACGCCGCGUGAAGGAAGAAGGUCUUCGGAUUGUAAACUUCUUUGACUGGGGACGAAGGAAGUGACGGUACCCAGAUAACAAGCCACGGCUAACUACGUGCCAGCAGCCGCGGUAAUACGUAGGUGGCAAGCGUUGUCCGGAAUUACUGGGUGUAAAGGGCGUGUAGGCGGGGAUGCAAGUCAGGUGUGAAAAACCAUGGCUCAACUGUGGUCUUGCAUCUGAAACUGUAUUUCUUGAGUACUGGAGAGGGAAGUGGAAUUCCUAGUGUAGCGGUGAAAUGCGUAGAGAUUAGGAGGAACACCAGUGGCGAAGGCGGCUUCCUGGCCAGAGACUGACGCUGAGGCGCGAAAGCGUGGGGAGCAAACAGGAUUAGAUACCCUGGUAGUCCACGCCGUAAACGAUGGAUACUAGGUGUAGGUGGUAACAAGCCAUCUGUGCCGGAGCAAACGCAAUAAGUAUCCCACCUGGGGAGUACGGCCGCAAGGCUGAAACUCAAAGGAAUUGACGGGGGCCCGCACAAGCAGUGGAGUAUGUGGUUUAAUUCGAUGCAACGCGAAGAACCUUACCAGGUCUUGACAGUGUAAAGAAUACUUAAGAGAUUAAGGGCUAAGAAUUAAGCUUGCUUAUUUCACUUUAUAAACAGGUGGUGCAUGGUUGUCGUCAGCUCGUGUCGUGAGAUGUUGGGUUAAGUCCCGCAACGAGCGCAACCCUUAUUGCUAGUUGCCAUCAUUAAGUUGGGCACUCUAGCAAGACUGCCGGUGACAAAUCGGAUGAAGGUGGGGAUGACGUCAAAUCGUCAUGCCCCUUAUGACCUGGGCUACACGCGUGCUACAAUGGCUAAUACAAAGAGUUGCAAAACCGUGAGGUAGAGCUAAUCUCAUAAAGUUAGUCUCAGUUCGGAUUGUAGUCUGCAACUCGACUACAUGAAGUUGGAAUCGCUAGUAAUC
rnacentral:rRNA from 1 species